GUGGCGGACGGGUGAGUAACGCGUAAAGAACUUGCCUUACAGACUGGGACAACAUUUGGAAACGAAUGCUAAUACCGGAUAUUAUGACUGAGUCGCAUGAUUUGGUUAUGAAAGCUAUAUGCGCUGUGAGAGAGCUUUGCGUCCCAUUAGUUAGUUGGUGAGGUAACGGCUCACCAAGACGAUGAUGGGUAGCCGGCCUGAGAGGGUGAACGGCCACAAGGGGACUGAGACACGGCCCUUACUCCUACGGGAGGCAGCAGUGGGGAAUAUUGGACAAUGGACCAAAAGUCUGAUCCAGCAAUUUCUGUGUGCACGAUGAAGUUUUUCGGAAUGUAAAGUGCUUUCAGUUGGGAAGAAGUCAGUGACGGUACCAACAGAANGAAGCGACGGCUAAAUACGUGCCCAGCAGCCGCGGUAAUACGUAUGUCGCAAGCGUUUAUCCGGAUUUAUUGGGCGUAAAGCGCGUCUAGGCGGUUUAGUAAGUCUGAUGUGAAAAAUGCGGGGCUCAACCCCGUAUUGCGUUGGAAACUGCUAAACUAGAGUACUGGAGAGGUAGGCGGAACUACAAGUGUAGAGGUGAAAUUCGUAGAUAUUUGUAGGAAUGCCGAUGGGGAAGCCAGCCUACUGGACAGAUACUGACGCUAAAGCGCGAAAGCGUGGGUAGCAAACAGGAUUAGAUACCCUGGUAGUCCACGCCGUAAACGAUGAUUACUAGGUGUUGGGGGUCGAACCUCAGCGCCCAAGCUAACGCGAUAAGUAAUCCGCCUGGGGAGUACGUACGCAAGUAUGAAACUCAAAGGAAUUGACGGGGACCCGCACAAGCGGUGGAGCAUGUGGUUUAAUUCGACGCAACGCGAGGAACCUUACCAGCGUUUGACAUCCCAAGAAGUUUAACAGAGAUGUUUUUCGUGCCUCUUCGGAGGAACUUGGUGACAGGUGGUGCAUGGCUGUCGUCAGCUCGUGUCGUGAGAUGUUGGGUUAAGUCCCCCCAACGAGCGCAACCCCUUUCGUAUGUUACCAUCAUUAAGUUGGGGACUCAUGCGAGACUGCCUGCGAUGAGCAGGAGGAAGGUGGGGAUGACGUCAAGUCAUCAUGCCCCUUAUACGCUGGGCUACACACGUGCUACAAUGGGUAGUACAGAGAGCUGCAAACCUGCGAGGGUAAGCUAAUCUCAUAAAACUAUUCUUAGUUCGGAUUGUACUCUGCAACUCGAGUACAUGAAGUUGGAAUCGCUAGUAAUCGCAAAUCAGCUAUGUUGCGGUGAAUACGUUCUCGGGUCUUGUACACACCGCCCGUCACACCACGAGAGUUGGUUGCACCUGAAGUAACAGGCCUAACCGUAAGGAGGGAUGUUCCGAGGGUAU
rnacentral:rRNA from 1 species